GAUGAACGCUGGCGGCGUGCCUAAUACAUGCAAGUCGAGCGAACAGACGAGGAGCUUGCUCCUCUGACGUUAGCGGCGGACGGGUGAGUAACACGUGGAUAACCUACCUAUAAGACUGGGAUAACUUCGGGAAACCGGAGCUAAUACCGGAUAAUAUAUUGAACCGCAUGGUUCAAUAGUGAAAGACGGUUUUGCUGUCACUUAUAGAUGGAUCCGCGCCGCAUUAGCUAGUUGGUAAGGUAACGGCUUACCAAGGCAACGAUGCGUAGCCGACCUGAGAGGGUGAUCGGCCACCCUGGAAAUGAGACACGGUCCAGACUCCUACGGGAGGCAGCAGUAGGGAAUCUUCCGCAAGGGGCGAAAGCCUGACGGAGCAACGCCGCGUGAGUGAUGAAGGUCUUCGGAUCGUAAAACUCUGUUAUUAGGGAAGAACAAAUGUGUAAGUAACUAUGCACGUCUUGACGGUACCUAAUCAGAAAGCCACGGCUAACUACGUGCCAGCCGCCGCCGUAA
rnacentral:rRNA from 1 species